CAAAGAUUAAGCCAUGCAUGUCUAAGUAUAAACAAAUUUAUACAGUGAAACUGCGAAUGGCUCAUUAAAUCAGUUAUAAUUUAUUUGAUAUUCACUUACUACUUGGAUAACCGUGGUAAUUCUAGAGCUAAUACAUGCGUACAUAACCUCGACUUCUGGAAGAGGUGCACUUAUUAGAUAAAAAGCCAACGCGGGCAACCGCUUGUAUGGUGAUUCAUAAUAAUUAAGCGAAUCGCAUGGCCUUGUGCCGGCGAUGAUGCAUUCAAAUUUCUGCCCUAUCAAGUUUCGAUGGUAGGUUAGUGGCCUACCAUGCUUUUAACGGGUAACGGGGAAUUAGGGUUCGAUUCCGGAGAGGGAGCCUGAGAAACGGCUACCACAUCCAAGGAAGGCAGCAGGCGCGCAAAUUACCCAAUCCCGACACGGGGAGGUAGUGACAAUAAAUAACAAUACAGGGCCUUUACGGGUCUUGUAAUUGGAAUGAGUACAAUUUAAAUCCCUUAACGAGGAACAAUUGGAGGGCAAGUCUGGUGCCAGCAGCCGCGGUAAUUCCAGCUCCAAUAGCGUAUAUUAAAGUUGUUGCAGUUAAAAAGCUCGUAGUUGAAUUUUGGCCUUGGGUGGUUUGGUUUGGCCUUCAUUGGUCAAUGCCUUUUCCGCCUAGGUCUUACCUUCUGGGUUAGCUAGUGUCACUUCGGUGGCGCUAGUGAACCAGAACUUUUACUUUGAAAAAAUUGGAGUGUUUAAAGCAGGCUUUCAAGCCUGAACAUAUUAGCAUGGAAUAAUGAAAUAGGACUUUGGCCUUAUUUCGUUGGUUUCUAAAGCCAAAGUAAUGAUGAAUAGGGAUAGUUGGGGACAUUAGUAUUCAAUUGUCAGAGGUGAAAUUCUUGGAUUUAUUGAAGACUAACUUCUGCGAAAGCAUUUGUCAAGGAUGUUUUCAUUAAUCAAGAACGAAAGUUAGGGGAUCGAAGACGAUCAGAUACCGUCGUAGUCUUAACCAUAAACUAUGCCGACUAAGGAUCGGAUGGUGUUAUAUUUUAUAUUGACCCAUUCGGCAUUUCAGCGAAAGCCAAGUUUUUGGGUUCCGGGGGGAGUAUGGUCGCAAGGCUGAAACUUAAAGG
rnacentral:rRNA from 1 species